UAGGUUUGACAUGGACGUGGUACCCGGGGCGAAAGCUUUGGGGACCCGCAAGGGAGCGUUCACAGGUGCUGCAUGGCUGUCGUCAGCUCGUGUCGUGAGAUGUUCGGUUAAGUCCGGCAACGAGCGCAACCCUCGCCUCCAGUUACCAGCGAGUAAAGUCGGGGACUCUGGAGGGACUAACCCGUUAGGGUGGGAAGGUGGGGAUGACGUCAAGUCAGUAUGGCCCUUACAUCUAGGGCUGCACACGUGCUACAAUGCCUGGUACAAAAGGAACCAAUACCGCGAGGUGGAGGAAAUCCCUAAAGCCAGGCCCAGUUCAGAUUGGAGUCUGCAACUCGACUCCAUGAAGCCGGAAUCGCUAGUAAUGGAGAUCAGUACGCACCGGA
rnacentral:rRNA from 1 species